rnacentral:snRNA from 1 species
AUACCUUCUCGGUCUCACGGCUAAGAUCAAGUGUAAUAUCUUUUUUAAUCAGUGUGAAAACUGAUUAUUGACUAUUAAGUCAGUCUUUAUUUCACAUUUCUUUUUUAAUAUGAUUAAAAUCAUUGCGUAGCUUGCUGUGUCAUUAAUUUGAUAUCGUUUUCAAGGGCUUCCAUCUUUCCCAUGUGAAGCCGGCCCUAC